rnacentral:antisense_RNA from 1 species
GCAAAGACAGAGAAUUCACGUGCUGCCCAGGCAUAGCCACAUAGCAGGUGGACAUCCCUGGACACUUUUCUGACAAAGCACGCAAUGUGGGGACAACACAGAAAUCCAAGAAAGGCAAGACCAAUUUCAAGGCACUAAAUAAGUGGACUGAGACAAGAAGUACACAGAUACUUCCCAGAACAAAACCCUCACUGGAUUUUCCUGGAAGUACGGAGAGUUACAUCCAGAGAACUCUGAACAUUUUGGAAGGACCCCAAUCCUGCAAACAAUGAAUGGCAAUAAAUCCUGGGACUGGAAAGGGGCUUCUCAACCCCAAGGCAACCAUAAAGUCCUAUACAAAGAAAGAUACAGCAGUGUGAAAGAGGCCUGGAUGAAAAAACAAAGACAGAGCCAGUGAGCCAGAGCCAGAGCCAGAGGACAAGAGAGAAAGGCAGAGAAUGGAAAACACAGACAGAGAAGGCAGAUGCAUAGAGAGACAGAGAUUCAAUGAGAAAAUAAGGAAGGAAGAAAGAAAACAAAAACAUUCUCAGCACUACAACUUCUGCCUUGUUCUGUUCCAGAACAGUAUGAGCUCAGUACUUUUUCAGACUCUCAAUUUUCUACAACUAAUAAUUUGCUCUUUCAGUUAGUGGCAAAGGCUUAACGACAAAGGUUCAUCUUUAAUAUUAAAGAGGCACUUUUAAAAUUUAUGAUGCUAAGCCUUUUGUUCUGGAUAUGGUAUGUUGCACAGGUCUAGGGACUGGGAUUUCAGAUGUCUAUUCCGUACCCUUAUUCUUUUAUUUAUUAAAUCUUUUAGGGUG